rnacentral:lncRNA from 1 species
GCUUAAUUUCCCGACUCUGCACCCCCCACUACUGUUUAUAUGUGAAGAUGUGAACGUAUUUAACGAAUGGCGGGAAGUUUGAAAAUGGCCAUGACCAACCAGCCAGAGCAAUCUAACCUUACAUUUACAUUUAUAAAAGUGUUUUGUUAUUGUUUUUGUAUAAGUGAACUAUUUUAAUUUUAUCUUUACGUUUUAUAUUAAUAAAAUGUAUCCUUAGAAUUUGAGGAACAAUUUAGUGAUGAUGAAAGAAUAAUAUAUUUCUUAAAUAACGCUUGAACCUGUACCAUACGAGAACGAAAAAAGUUAUGAAAGAAUUUGAUGAUAACAAUUUUUUAUUAAGGUUUAUGGUUUCCAUAAAAAUACUGUGAGAUAAUUUAUACAAGAGCUGGUUCCUGGUUUCCAUUAUGUAAUUCUUCAGUAGGUAUGAUGAGCCUAAUAUCACAGAUCAAGUUUUAAUAACUUUAAAAACUUAUAUUAUGAGUUGUUUUUAUUUAUUGUAUGGUUUUGAUGGUAUACCUAUACAAAACAACUACUGAAAGAUUUAUAAAACCCAUGAAGUACUGGCAGAUAACGUAGUUGUUGAUAUUGAUAGAGAAUGUGUUAACACAGAAGAUAUUCCAUUUAUGAGUACUAAUCUAUAAACAUGCUAUAAAAUUUAACAUUUAUAAUAAAUAUUUAAACCUUU